rnacentral:rRNA from 1 species
UACGAAGGGGGCUAGCGUUGCUCGGAAUGACUGGGCGUAAAGGGCGCGUAGGCGGCUAUUAUAGUCAGGCGUGAAAUUCCUGGGCUCAACCUGGGGGCUGCGCUUGAUACGUGAUGGCUUGAGUGGGGAAGAGGGUCGUGGAAUUCCCAGUGUAGAGGUGAAAUUCGUAGAUAUUGGGAAGAACACCGGUGGCGAAGGCGGCGACCUGGUCCUUUUACUGACGCUGAGGCGCGAAAGCGUGGGGAGCAAACAGG